UACGUAGGGUGCAAGCGUUGUCCGGAAUUAUUGGGCGUAAAGAGCACGCAGGCGGUUUGGCAAGUCGGAUGUGAAAACCCGAAGCUCAACUUCGGGCCUGCAUCCGAAACUGCCCGACUAGAGGUAGGUAGGGGAGAUCGGAAUUCCUGGUGUAGCGGUGAAAUGCGCAGAUAAUCAGGAGGAACACCGGUGGCGAAGGCGGAUCUCUGGGCCACUGACUGACGCUGAGAAGCGAAAGCAUGGGGAGCAAACAGGA
rnacentral:rRNA from 1 species